UGCUACCCGCUGACGAGCGGCGGACGGGUGAGUAAUGCAUAGGAAACUGCCCAGUAGUGGGGGAUAGCCCGGGGAAACCCGGAUUAAUACCGCGUACGCCCUUCGGGGGAAAGCAGGGGAUCUUCGGACCUUGCGCUAUUGGAUGUGCCUAUGUCGGAUUAGCUAGUUGGUGGGGUAAAGGCCUACCAAGGCGACGAUCCGUAGCUGGUCUGAGAGGAUGAUCAGCCACAUCGGGACUGAGACACGGCCCGAACUCCUACGGGAGGCAGCAGUGGGGAAUAUUGGACAAUGGGGGCAACCCUGAUCCAGCCAUGCCGCGUGUGUGAAGAAGGCUUUCGGGUUGUAAAGCACUUUCAGUGAGGAGGAAAAGUUGGUCGUUAAUACCGGCCAGCCUUGACGUU
rnacentral:rRNA from 1 species